rnacentral:misc_RNA from 1 species
GAUGAAGAACGUAGUGAAAUGCGAUAAGUAAUGUGAAUUGCAGAAUUCAGUGAAUCAUCGAAUCUUUGAACGCACAUUGCGCCCGCCAGUAUUCUGGCGGGCAUGCCUGUCCGAGCGUCAUUUCAACCCUCAGGCCCUGGUUGCCUGGUGUUGGGGCGCCGCGCACCCUCUGCGGGCGCGGGCCCCGAAAGUCAGUGGCGGGCUCGCCAGGACUCCGAGCGCAGUAAUUUUCUCUCGCUGUGGAGCGCCUGGUGGGUUACCAGCCGUAAAACACCCCAAAUUCUAAAGGUUGACCUCGGAUCAGGUAGGAAUACCCGCUGAACUUAAGCAUAUCAAUAAGCGGAGGA